rnacentral:tRNA from 1 species
CGGCUUGUAGCUCAGUGGAAGAGCGCUUGGCCCCUCGUGGGGCCCAGAGGUCUUGGGUUCAAACCCCAACCUGCCCC